rnacentral:rRNA from 1 species
GGACUACCCGCUGAACUUAAGCAUAUCAAUAAGCGGAGGAAA